rnacentral:lncRNA from 1 species
AAGAAAGAAGAAGAAGAAGAGGAGGAGGAGGAGGAGGAGGAGGAGGAGGCUGGAAGAUGAGAUGGGAUUACUAACUCUAUGAAGCAAAGGCACAGAGGUGCUAGGACACUGGCGGAAUGCAUCCUGUCUUCCUGGCGAUCACAUGACGACUCCACAGAGAAGAGAGGAGAAGGAAGAGAAAGAGCGUGAUUUCCUGCUUGUCCCUGUUUAUAUUCUGAGUCUGCCUACUAUGUCACUUCCUGCCUGGAUCACAAGACUUCUCUUUACUACAUUUCCCAAAAUCCUCCUUGACUCCUAGUCCCACCUAACUUGCUUCUUCAUUUCCCAACAGUACUUUAUUCAACAACCAAUAAGAUAAACAUACAUAGAAGGACUUGCCCUAUCAGAGGAUGCUUGCAGCAACCAAGAUAGUGACAGAGAAUGGCUGUCACAUAUGGCACUUAGAGUUUGUUACCAAUAUAAGAAACUCUUUCUCGAUAUUAUAUGUAAU